rnacentral:rRNA from 1 species
UGGGGAAUUGUUCGCAAUGGGCGCAAGCCUGACGACGCAACGCCGCGUGGGGGAUGAAGGUCUUCGGAUUGUAAACCCCUGUUGGGUGGGACGAACACUUCCAUGGUGAACAGCCAUGGAGACUGACGGUACCACCUGAGGAAGCCCCGGCUAACUCUGUGCCAGCAGCCGCGGUAAUACAGAGGGGGCAAGCGUUGUUCGGAAUUACUGGGCGUAAAGGGCGCGUAGGCGGCCUGUUAAGUCAGACGUGAAAUCCCUCGGCUCAACCGGGGAACUGCGUCUGAUACUGGCGGGCUUGAAUUCGGGAGAGGGAUGUGGAAUUCCAGGUGUAGCGGUGAAAUGCGUAGAUAUCUGGAGGAACACCGGUGGCGAAGGCGGCAUCCUGGACCGACAUUGACGCUGAGGCGCGAAAGCCAGGGGAGCAAACG